GCAGCCAUUAUGCAGCUUAUCAAACGAGGGAGAAGAUGAGAUGAUCAGAGAUCGAUAAAAGUUUGGUUUUUGUUCAUUUUACCCGGUGGUGAAGUUGGGUUUUGCCUAAAAAAGAAGUCUAUUUUCACGUACUCAACCGGGACUUGGUUGGGCCGAAUAAAGCGGAUUGUUUUCUGAGAUCCGUGAGCGGAAGAAACAAGAUGGCGAACCAACCCUGAACCAUGAAAGUGAUCCUAGCGAAGGACCAAGCGCCCUCUGCUGGACACUGGACAACCUUUUUCUGCUGGAACUGCAGGUGGCGUUUGAGUCUGUGAGGCGGUAUGGAGACGUUAGCCAGCAUCAAAAUGGCAGAAGGACCAGAGUCAUCGUCUGUCGACUUUGUUGGUUUCCAGUCUUACAGGUUGGUAAGGCAGUAAGAUAUGAAAAAUGAAUUAUGAAAAUAUAAAUAUUCAACACAUUUAAUUGAGAGGUAUCAU